ensembl:snRNA U2 U2 spliceosomal RNA
CUCGCUUCUCGGCCUUUUGGCUAAGAUUCAAGUGUAGUAUCUGUUCUUAUCAGUAUUUCUUUUCUGGAACUGGCAGCUGAUGACAUCAGUCCAGGGACCAUCA